rnacentral:Y_RNA from 1 species
GGCUGGUCCAAGUGCAGUGGUAUUUACAACUAACUGAUCACAACUAGUUGCAGAUUUCUGUGAUUCUUGCCACUCCCAUUGCUUCCCCUGAUUAGCCUUUA